rnacentral:rRNA from 1 species
AGUGGCGGACGGGUGAGUAACGCGUGAGAAUCUGCCUUCAGGUCGGGGACAACAGAGGGAAACUUCUGCUAAUCCCGGAUGAGCCUUAGGGUAAAAAAUUUAUUGCCUGGAGAUGAGCUCGCGUCUGAUUAGCUAGUUGGUAAGGUAAAAGCUUACCAAGGCAACGAUCAGUAGCUGGCUGAGAGGAUGAGCAGCCACACUGGGACUGAGACACGGCCCAGACUCCUACGGGAGGCAGCAGUGGGGAAUUUUCCGCAAUGGGCGAAAGCCUGACGGAGCAAGACCGCGUGGGGGAGGAAGGCUCUAGGGUUGUAAACCCCUUUUCUUUGGGAAGAACAAAAUGACGGUACCAAAGGAAUCAGCCUCGGCUAACUCCGUGCCAGCAGCCGCGGUAAUACGGAGGAGGCAAGCGUUAUCCGGAAUGAUUGGGCGUAAAGCGUCCGCAGGUGGCAAUGUAAGUCUGCUGUCAAAACCCAGGGCUCAACUCUGGUCAGGCAGUGGAAACUACAUAGCUAGAGUUCGGUAGGGGCAAAGGGAAUUCCCGGUGUAGCGGUGAAAUGCGUAGAGAUCGGGAAGAACAUCGGUGGCGAAAGCGCUUUGCUAGACCGAAACUGACACUCAGGGACGAAAGCUAGGGGAGCGAAUGGGAUUAGAUACCCC